UCUCCCCUUUUAGGAGCAGUCUCGCUAGACAGAGUAACUAGCGACGAGGGUUGCGCUCGUUGCGGGACUUAACCCAACACCUCACGGCACGAGCUGACGACAGCCAUGCAACAUCUGUGCACCUGUCCCGAAGGAAGACCCACUUUCGUGGGCUGUCAGGUGCAUGUCAAGUCCAGGUGAGGUUCUUCGCUUAGCAUCGAAUUAAACCACACGCUCCGCUGCUUGUGCGGGGACCCGUCAAUUCCUUUGAGUUUUAGCCUUGCGGCCGUACUCCCCAGGCGGGAUACUUAUCGCGUUAGCUUCGGCACGGGAGGGGUCGAUACCCCCCAUACCUAGUAUCCAUCGUUUAGGGCGUGGACUAC
rnacentral:misc_RNA from 1 species